UCGCAAUCCAACUGGUACACUGGCAUGAGGUUGUAAAUCCUAUCUGGGAAAGCAAACCAGAAACUUCUACCCUUUGGUGUUCAAAAAUACUUCAUUUUUCUUAAAAUUGUCUUUUUAAAACUGUAAAGGUCUGUAAACAUUAGUUUUAGAACAAUUGCUCCCCAAUAAUUUAUUUUACAAACAGGAAUAUGAAAAAUAAAUGGUGGUAGGAGGAAGGACCCACUAAGAACACCAUUUUUAAAUUUUGCUAAGUAAGGACAUUGAGGGAAAAAACUCAAACUCUGAUCUACCAUCAUUGUUUAAUGUUCGGCAAACAUGAAGCAUUUUAAUACCAAAAAAAGUGAGGAGAAUAAAUCUCAGCAUAAAGGAACAACUUUUUAAACUGAAUUUAGCACUAUGAAAAAUGUACCUCAUUUUCUGUAAUUUUAGCGAGUUUCCCGCGGAUGUACACUGGCCCCAUGGAUUGGCGCUGGGGAUCACCAGUUUAGAGGUGCCAGUGCCUUCUGACAAAGGCCCAUGGAUCCAUAUGACUGCCUGUCUGUUCUUUUUAGAGACGGGCCCACACUGCAGAGAAGUGAUUGUGAAGGUCUCCAACCCUGUCAUGCCCCCACCUGCCACCUUGACUUGGGAGAGGGACACUCACAAAAGCAUGUCAAAUCGACAUCCAUUUCUUUCUCUUUCCCUCAGGUCUCAGGGAGUUUUCCUCUUCUCCUCGGACUCUUUCUCUCAAGGCCUCUUCUACAAAAACCCCUGCCCAGAGGGUUACUGCUAAAAUGAAACUCCCGUGUCUGUCCCCUUCCCUGGCCCCCAACUGACUUGCCUGCCUCUGCUUGCUGCUGUCCCUGCCUAUUCCCCUUCAUGCUGGCUCUAGAAAGAUGCAAUCUUUUUCCCAGGCCCCAGCCUCUCUGGCCUCCCUGCCAUCCAGCUUCUAGCCUCCCUUCUCUGGAAUCUAUGGAAGAAUCAUCAAGCAGCUUCUGGAAAUCCAGGAGUCUGUCCUUGGUCAUGGUCAUCUUCAACCUGUCUGUGUUC
rnacentral:lncRNA from 1 species